CCGGAAGUGCGCAGGGCGGCGGCCGCGCAGGCCCGCGUGGGGCGGGAGACACCGGAGGUGGAGGAAGGGGCCGCGUACCACGUGGUGUGUGGAGCCGAGGAAAGCACGGACUUCCAGCACCCGGGAAGUGAGCACGGAAAAGUCAGUUCACGGCUGCCGCGUUCCUUCCGGCGGACAGCCGGUGACCGCGAGGAAAGGAGGCAACAAGGCUCACACAGCAAUUGUCAUCUUGCUUGCUACCCCUGGGCCCCCAGGGGCAGAAAGGAGUUCUAGGCUGCUGCUCAGCACCACUGAUAGGAUUUGCAGUCCUCAUCCACGUAUGAAGACAGAGGAGCAGAGGAGGGACACCAGACUGUCAUCUGAAAGUGUUCCCCAGCACAGCAAAGACAGUGUGUGUUUGCAUCCACCCUAGAGUACCGUAGCAGCUGAAGGCAAUUUGACAGACACAACAUGUAUCUGGAAUAAAAGGUGUUUCACAGUGCCUUUCAACUUUAAAACUGCGGUGAUAUUUUCUGGGGAGCAUUACGCCUACUUGGUAAAUGGAGCCGAACAGGAUUCAGUGGUUUCCCUUAAGGCCACCAGAUGGGACAGUUUUGUUUUUUCCAGAUGGGACAGUUCUUAGACACAUUGGACCGUUCUCCAGGAACUAAACUAACAGCAGAGCAGUGAAAUCUAAUGUCUCUAUGAAACUUAGUCCUGCUUUUUUUUUUUAAGUGAACUCAUGGUACC